CAAUAGCGUAUAUUAAAGUUGUUGCGGUAAAAAAGCUCGUAGUUGGAUUUCUGUUGAGGACAACCGGUCCAUACAACGUAUGUGUAUCAGGUUUGGCCUCGGCAUCCUCUCGAAGGACGUUUCUGCGCUUGACUGCGUGGUGCGGACCUCGGGACUUUUACUUUGAGGAAAUUAGAGUGUUCACGGCAGGCUAUCGCCAGAAUACAUUAGCAUGGAAUAAUACUAUAGGAUCUUGAUUCUAUUUUGUUGGUUUCUAGAGUCGAGAUAAUGAUUAAUAGGGACAAUUGGGGGCAUUCGUAUCAACACGUCAGAGGUGGAAUUCUUGGAUUGUGUUGCGACGAACUACUGCGAAAGCAUUUGCCAAGGAUGUUUUCAUUGAUCAAGAACGAAAGUAAGGGGAUCGAAGACGAUCAGAUACCGU
rnacentral:rRNA from 1 species